rnacentral:rRNA from 1 species
UACGUAGGGUGCGAGCGUUAAUCGGAAUUACUGGGCGUAAAGCGUGCGCAGGCGGUUCGUUAAGUCAGAUGUGAAAUCCCCGGGCUCAACCUGGGAACUGCAUCCGAAACUGCCUUGCUAGAGUAUGGGAGAGGGAAGUGGAAUUUCCGGUGUAGCGGUGAAAUGCGUAGAUAUCGGAAGGAACAUCAGUGGCGAAGGCGACUUCCUGGACCAAUACUGACGCUCAGGUGCGAAAGCGUGGGGAGCAAACAGG